rnacentral:rRNA from 1 species
AGAGUUUGAUCCUGGCUCAGAUUGAACGCUGGCGGCAGGCUUAACACAUGCAAGUCGAGCGGAGAGAGGUAGCUUGCUACUGAUCUUAGCGGCGGACGGGUGAGUAAUGCUUAGGAAUCUGCCUAUUAGUGGGGGACAACAUUUCGAAAGGAAUGCUAAUACCGCAUACGUCCUACGGGAGAAAGCAGGGGAUCUUCGGACCUUGCGCUAAUAGAUGAGCCUAAGUCGGAUUAGCUAGUUGGUGGGGUAAAGGCCUACCAAGGCGACGAUCUGUAGCGGGUCUGAGAGGAUGAUCCGCCACACUGGGACUGAGACACGGCCCAGACUCCUACGGGAGGCAGCAGUGGGGAAUAUUGGACAAUGGGCGCAAGCCUGAUCCAGCCAUGCCGCGUGUGUGAAGAAGGCCUUAUGGUUGUAAAGCACUUUAAGCGAGGAGGAGGCUACUUUAGUUAAUACCUAGAGAUAGUGGACGUUACUCGCAGAAUAAGCACCGGCUAACUCUGUGCCAGCAGCCGCGGUAAUACAGAGGGUGCAAGCGUUAAUCGGAUUUACUGGGCGUAAAGCGCGCGUAGGCGGCUAAUUAAGUCAAAUGUGAAAUCCCCGAGCUUAACUUGGGAAUUGCAUUCGAUACUGGUUAGCUAGAGUGUGGGAGAGGAUGGUAGAAUUCCAGGUGUAGCGGUGAAAUGCGUAGAGAUCUGGAGGAAUACCGAUGGCGAAGGCAGCCAUCUGGCCUAACACUGACGCUGAGGUGCGAAAGCAUGGGGAGCAAACAGGAUUAGAUACCCUGGUAGUCCAUGCCGUAAACGAUGUCUACUAGCCGUUGGGGCCUUUGAGGCUUUAGUGGCGCAGCUAACGCGAUAAGUAGACCGCCUGGGGAGUACGGUCGCAAGACUAAAACUCAAAUGAAUUGACGGGGGCCCGCACAAGCGGUGGAGCAUGUGGUUUAAUUCGAUGCAACGCGAAGAACCUUACCUGGCCUUGACAUAGUAAGAACUUUCCAGAGAUGGAUUGGUGCCUUCGGGAACUUACAUACAGGUGCUGCAUGGCUGUCGUCAGCUCGUGUCGUGAGAUGUUGGGUUAAGUCCCGCAACGAGCGCAACCCUUUUCCUUAUUUGCCAGCGAGUAAUGUCGGGAACUUUAAGGAUACUGCCAGUGACAAACUGGAGGAAGGCGGGGACGACGUCAAGUCAUCAUGGCCCUUACGGCCAGGGCUACACACGUGCUACAAUGGUCGGUACAAAGGGUUGCUACCUAGCGAUAGGAUGCUAAUCUCAAAAAGCCGAUCGUAGUCCGGAUUGGAGUCUGCAACUCGACUCCAUGAAGUCGGAAUCGCUAGUAACCGCGGAUCAGAAUGCCGCGGUGAAUACGUUCCCGGGCCUUGUACACACCGCCCGUCACACCAUGGGAGUUUGUUGCACCAGAAGUAGCUAGCCUAACUGCAAAGAGGGCGGUUACCACGGUGUGGCCGAUGACUGGGGUGAAGUCGUAACAAGGUAACCGUA